GGGCGCGUAGCUCAGGGGUAGAGCAUAUGCCUUUUAAGCAUAGGGUCGGUGGUUCGAUCCCACCCGCGCUCA
rnacentral:tRNA from 2 species